UUAAGUUUAGGGUUCAUCGUUGAUAAAGGCGGUGGAUGUCACGGACGGGUUGGGGUUGGACCCUUCCACUCUGCCCAUUGAUCGGAGCUCAAGGUAGGCCGCUUCGCCUCUCUCCACCCUCGCAAGGUAAGUAGGGCUUUAGCAAUAAGCGAGUAAGACAGAGAUUUGGAAAGCGAAGCUGCUUGCAACGAGCUAAGACGUAGGCGAUCAAGAAAUCGUGUUGAAACUCUCAACGCUUGAAGACACCUCUUUUCGAUUGCAACGCAAAAGGGAGCCAGUGACACAAUAAACAACUCAAACAAGCAAAGUGCAAGACAACGGGCCAAGGAACUCUCAACGCGAAGGGAAACUCACUGAUGUGGACAACGCUGUUUGAAUAUGAACAAAAGUAACGAUCAACGAUACUUGGUUUCACGUUGCCAGGUUCGCGUGUGUUUCGAUUUGUUCUAAUUUCUUGUGAUGAAGAAGCCAAGUGACAUGCUGGUGCUGCUCAACGACGAUAAGAACUGAAACACAGUGUGUGCCAAGAAGAAAAAUGCUACUAGAUUGGAGAGAUUUUGUGUCAGCGUUUUGGAGCUUUGAGUUGUGUUGUUGCUGCGCUCAACGUAAGACCUGCGAGCUGAGAAACAACGUUGGGAAACUGCGAUCUGCAGAACUGCUGAAGUUCUACACGACAAUGGUCCAACCUCAAUGAAAACAACAAUCAUGAUCCGUCGCUGAUCCUUGACCGGCCCCGUCCACUCUUGCACCUCUCCACCUCCCUUGCAAGGUAAGUUUGCUUGCAACGAGUUAAGAUGUAUUCUCUAGAAUGAUCAACGAUAAAAGAGAGGCUAGAGGCGAUCAAGAAUUCGUGUCAACGUUUGAAGACGCUCUUUCUUUUCAAUGUUAUGCUCAACGCAACAAAAGGGAGCCAGUGACACAGUCCAAGUUAAGAUGAUAUGCUCGAUCAAACAACUCAAACAAGCUAAGUGCAAAACAAUGGUCCAAGGAACUCUCAACGCGAAGGGAAACUUAAAAAAGACAAGUGACAUGUUGGUGCUGCUCAACCACGAUAAGAACUAAAAAACGCUGUGUCCAAGAAGAAAAAUGCUACGAGAUUGGAGAGAUUCUGUGUCAACAUUUUGGAAAGAUUGUCAGCAAUGUUGCUGCUGCGCUCAACGCAAGACUUGCGAGCUGAGAAACAACGUUGGGCAUCUGCAAUCUUCUGACUUCAAUCCAGUUAAAGACGUACAUGACAAUGGUCCAACCUCAAUGAAAAGAACGAUCAUGAAAACUCUGGCUGUCCAACGAUAUGGAAGUCGAAGUUCAACAGGUUCGUGAGCUGUUUGUUCUAACCAAAAUGUUUGUUCAACGAACUGAAAGGCUUCAACCCCAGGGCCAGCUAACGAUGGGUAGUGGCAAAACGAGACAAUCUACACAAAGCACUCUGUGGUUUCCUUGAAAAGAAAUGAAUACAUUUACAAGUUCUGUCAAAAAA